ensembl:misc_RNA Metazoa_SRP Metazoan signal recognition particle RNA
GCUGGGCGUGGUGGCAGUGCCUGUAGUCCCAGCUGCUUGGGAGUCUGAGGCAGGGAAUUUGAAUUUGGGUUUGGGAAUUCCAGGCUGUAGUGCACUAUGCUGAUCUAAGUUGAGCAUCAGUAUGGUAACCUCUUUGGAGUGGGGCAUCACCAGGUUGCCUAAAGAGGGGUAAACUGGCCUAGGUUGGAAACAGCACAAGUCAAAACUCCUAUGCUGAUAAGUAGUGGGAUCAAGCCUGUGAAUAGCCACUGGAUUCCAGCUGGGCAACAUAAAUAGACGCUGUCUCUU